rnacentral:rRNA from 1 species
CCUACGGGGGGCAGCAGUGGGGAAUUUUGCGCAAUGGACGAAAGUCUGACGCAGCAAUACCGUGUGUGGGAUGACGCCUCGUGGGGUGUAAACCACUGUCAGAAUGGAAAAAUUUGAUUGUACAUUCAAAGGAAGCACCGGCUAAUUCCGUGCCAGCAGCCGCGGUAAUACGGAAGGUGCAAGCGUUGUCCGGAUUUAUUGGGCGUAAAGAGUUUGUAGGCGGUUUUGUAAGUCUGAAGUGAAAUAAUGGAGCUCAACUCCAUACACGCUUUUGAAACUACAAAACUAGAGAAUGUUAGGGGUGAGUGGAAUUUCCAGUGUAGCGGUGAAAUGCGUAGAUAUUGGAAAGAACACCGGAGGCGAAGGCGGCUCACUGGGACAUUUCUGACGCUGAGAAACGAAAGCUAGGGGAGCGAAAGGGAUUAGAUACCCCGGUAGUC